CUUCUCUCUCUCUCUCCCUUUUAAUCAGCCAUGGAAGUCUCAUGGGAACAAAGUGUCACAGACUCUAUCAACACCAUUUACCUACUAUUCUCAGCUUACUUGGUCUUUGUUAUGCAACUUGGCUUUGCCAUGCUAUGUGCUGGCUCAGUCAGGGCCAAGAAUGCCAUGAACAUUAUGCUCACAAAUGUUGUUGAUGCAGUUGUUGGUAGCAUCUCUUAUUAUCUCUUUGGCUUUGCUUUUGCAUUUGGGGUUGGUUCCAGUUCUUCUAAUCCCUUCAUUGGUACCACUUUCUUUGCCCUUAAAGAUAUUCCCAACACUACUUAUGACUAUAACUUUUUUCUUUUCCAAUGGGCUUUUGCUAUAGCGGUUGCUGGAAUCACCAGUGGCUCAAUAGCUGAGCGAACCCAAUUCACUGCUUACCUUGUUUUCUCGUUUUUUCUUACUGGGUUUGUCUACCCAGUUGUGGCUCACUGGGUUUGGUCGUCAAACGGUUGGUUGAGUGCUAGUUCAAGUGAGUUGUUGUUUGGGUCUGGUGCCAUUGAUUUUGCAGGCAGUGGUGUGGUUCAUAUGCUAGGUGGGAUUGCUGGGCUUUGGGGCUCCUUCAUAGAAGGCCCCCGGGUGGGUAGGUUUGACGCAUUUGGAAAGCCCAUGCCAAUGCGUGGGCAUAAUGCAACUCUAGUGGUACUUGGUACAUUCUUGUUGUGGUUUGGAUGGUUCGGCUUUAACCCUGGCUCUUUUGAUAAGAUUCUUGUAGCCUACCCUAAUACAACUGAUCAAGGUAACUGGACUGCCAUUGGCCGAACUGCAGUGACUACGACGUUGGCAGGUUCAACUGCCGGAAUUACAACCCUAUUCGGCCGGCGGUUACUAGUAGGCCAUUGGGAUGCAUUAGAUGUUUGCAAUGGAGUGCUUGGUGGGUUUGUCGCAAUCACUUCUGGCUGUGCAGUUGUUGAGCCAUGGGCAGCAAUUGUGUGUGGGUUUUGCUCUGCUUGGGUCCUAAUUGGGUUGAAUAUUCUGGCCCUGAAGUUGCAAUUUGAUGACCCAUUGGAAGCAACUCAAUUGCAUGGGGGAUGUGGUGCUUGGGGAUUGAUAUUCACAGGGUUGUUUGCUAAGGAGGAAUUUGUGAUUCAAGCAUAUGAGUCAGGUGAGAGUGGCGUGGCGAGGCCUUAUGGCCUUCUAAUGGGUGGGGGAUGGGGUCUGAUUGGAUGCCAAGUGGUUCAGGUUCUAGUGAUAGUGUUGUGGGUGAGUUUGACGAUGGGACCUCUUUUCUAUGCUCUUCACAAGCUUCGGAUAUUGAGGAUAUCAAUUGAUGAAGAAGUUGCAGGGCUUGAUAUCUCUAGCCAUGGAGGCUAUGCCUACGUUGCUCAUCCAGAAGAUGAUCAACCCCGUUUUUACGCAGACUACAUGCGACUGCAAGCUCAAAAUCAAUCAUAAGUACACGGCAUUUGUACACUUUGAUUUCAUCUCAUUAUUAUUCCUAUUCGUAAUCCGAGUUUGUUAAUAAAGAUGAAAUGCAAUCGUCAAAAUAUGAUUUUUCUUUAAAAAAAAUUAUUUACACUUUCAAGGUGCUUAUCAAAAAAGAAAAAAAUUACAAUUUCAAGGCUUGCGUUAUAUACAUACAGCUGUUGCUUGUCAUACACAAGUUCUGAGUUCCAGCAUAGAAACCCUCACCCAAAAUGAGAAUUAUAUGGAACAAUUACAUGAUCUGGAGCAAUGAGAGGCAACUUAUCCACGUACAUAAAGAGCCUCGUGCAAUUCUCUCUCGAAAUUAAGGAUAAAGAUUAAUCAACAAUAUCGGAUUUACCUGUAUAGAUCCAAAGGUCACCGGAAUUGACUCUUUUAAGACUCUCAGCAAAAGGGACACAAUUGAGACCGCUCACGCCUGUGAUAAACACCCAAUAACACAUCGUCAGCUCCAAUUCAAGGUUAUCAAGCAACAAAGAAAUCAUCAGCCAUUAGUAGAAUGUGAAAGCCAGAAACAACCAAUCCUUUAUCCAGCAAGGACACUUCUCCAUUUUCUAAAUGUGAUAGACCAGUCAACCAUACUCAUUGUCUGGCGCUGGAUAUUUGGCCUAACACUUUUAGGUUUUAAAUAAUAAAGAAUGAACACAAGUGCAUGGAGGGGCACAGCCCCUUGCAGUACAGUUUAGAUAUCCUAGAGUGAUUCUAGAUAAUUUUGUAAUUGUGAAUUUCUCCUAUUUGUACUUGUGACCAUAAAUAGAUGCUUGUAAUUUUUCUCUUCAUAGAGGAAAAAGCAAGCGGCUUUCUGUGGAUGCAGAGUCAUCAUUGAACCAUGCAUAAUUCUUUAUGUAAUGUUUUUUCUCCUUUUUUGUGAUCAUUAUUCUAAUUUGUGGGUUUGCAUGUGUGUAUUGCAUGGUCAAUUAUUCAACCCUUGUGUCCUAUUAUUUAUUGAAGAGAAAUACAAUUAAGUGCUUCUUUCUGUGAUUUGAUUAAGUGGUAUAUAAACUAUCAAAGAAAACUGUGAUCAUCUAUCACAAGGCAACGAGAUCAGGUAGCUCACUACCAGCAGGGGUCCUACUGUCUCAAUGAGUGAAACUUGAAGGUGGGAAAUAUGAACCGAGGACCCUCUCUUACAUACUUAAUUACCAUACACAAUAAAGAGACUGCUUAAACGAAAUCUAUAACCUUUAAUGAUUAACAAGAGACUAAAGGAAGAUGCAUCUCACUUUGAUUUUCUAGCAUAACAGAAAACAGACACUAAACUUACCGAUCUUGAUAGCACUUCAAACACAAUGAAUGACUGUAAUUGGGCAAUCAAACCUUGCUGUUCAUCUCGAUGCAAAUUCCGCACUCCUCUUCUCUUUCAAUGUCAAUUUCAGAGAGUUUGCGCCUCUCCAACUCAUCCUUUCUUCUAUAUCUGAUAUUAUACGCCUCUUUUUGUUUCUUAUCUUCCAAAUCAGUAAUUCCUUUUUGAAGUUGCAACAGAUAGGGAAAUAUAACAGCUUUUCAUAGAAAACCAAACUUUUUAUGCAUAAUUAAACAUAAAUUUUAACUUCAACAGACUGGACAUGUUUUCUCCAGAAAUUUGGUGGAUUUAACCACCUUUCUCCAACAGACAUGGUUGUCUUGCCAUGAGCAUAGGUCUGCACCAAUCACCACAUUGUCACACCCAACAAGAAUUUGUAAUAUGUUUACUACAAAGAGAAACGACAAAACAAUAAUAGUUGCAUAAAGUUAAGACAACAAAGAGAAAAGGAAGGGGAAAAAAGGUAAAAACUAACAAAUAAUAAUGAGGGGAAAACAUAAAACAAAAAGAAUAACAUACCACAUAAAUAAGAAUUCUAAGCAGACCAAGGGCCCUGCAAGAUGACAAUCAGACCACUGAACAAGAAAAAUAAGAAAUUGGGCUGCUGGACUGUAGGAAAGUCUCAUCUGAAGACGAGCUCCGUCAAUCUCCAUUGGAUAAUCUAGAGCACUUUGCCAACAAGAGGGUGAAAAAGGGCAAACAACAAUAAGUAAAUUUCACAACUUCUUUUUACCAUGCUGAAUGAAGCAGAUAGGUAAGCAACACCACAAACAGAAGUAAUGUUUAUACUUUAUACUAAUACAGAUCAACACAAUUAUCUAACUAAGAUGAAACAAGAGUAUCAUUCAAAUAAAACCUUAAGAACUUGUCUGAAGACUGAGAGAUCAAGUGAGGAUAUGGCCAAAAAAAAGAAUAAAAAAUAUAAUCAACAUGACAGAAGUGCGUUUCCAUAUUUAUUUUUUCAAUGUGUUAGAGGCUCUUCAAAACCACUUCAGAAUAACAGUUUCACAACGAAGGAUCAUUUCCAUACUUUUGAAAGGUAACAUCUCCAUGCUAGAUUUUAUUUCAUGACCACAAGUAAUUACAAAAAUACAGUUCAAACAACCAAACAUUUUAUCCAUUUAUCCAAAACUAAGCUGCAGGGUAAGCCUUGACAUAGUGAUUAGGUUAUUAAAUUAUGACUUGGAGGUAAAUAGUUAAAACCAUGGGAACAUUCUUUUCGUAAUGCAAUGAAAAGGCUGCCUACAUUUGACCCUCCCCAAAUCUUGAAAUAUGAGAAGCCUUAUGCAAUGGAUACCCUUUACCCAUUGCAAGCAAUUGAGGAACCAUUAUUACAAUUAUAUUGCAUUUACCAAUUCUGCAAUGCAGGAAACCUCAUGCAAUUGGAUAUGUACCCUUUAUCCGUUACCAAGCUAUUAAGGAUCAAUUAUCAGAAUUCCAUUGCAUUUACCUUUGACAUGCAUACAAGAGUGCCUAAUUGCAACAAUGAACCGGAAGAUCUCAUAACAAAGUUCAAUAUCAAUAUCCAGAAUGUUAAUUGAAUGUCAUUAAUCACCAUUUGAAUGCAUCCUGUUGGUUUCAAGAAUGGCUACUUGUCUAUAUCUCUUUGAAAGAGUUAUAACAAAGAUCCUAAAAUGGAACAAAUUUAUAAUAAGUUCAUAUCAUUUUACCUGAAACUGUAUCUAAGACUAAGAAUGUAUUAUCCAAGCAGUGCAGGGGAAGAGGAACAAAUAAAGAAACAUGCUUUACAUAAUAGAAAAACCGUUCAAAAAGAUUUACUGUAAAAAAAAUUCCCCAGAAUAAUAAUAAUAAUAAGUAAUAAUAAUUCAAUUCUCAUUAUUUCGUUUCCAGACAGGACAAAAGAUGAAACAAUGGCCCACCCAAAAUAUCAUCAUUCAAAAUCGAUUCCUUUGCAGGAUAGAAUCGCAGCAUCGCGAAUACCAUAGAAGCUAAAAUAUGUUCAACAGGGAUAUCGAAAUAGAGAGCGUUUAAGGCAACUCGAUCACCGAAUCCAAUAUAAUUCAUCAAUAAAAUUUCAAAACACCAUCAGAUUUCGAUUAAUUUGUUUUUAAUUCCUUCUUUAGUCAUCAUAAAAUAAAAUCCAAAUUCAACCGACAAACUUAACCAACACCAAAAUAAAAUAAUUCAAUCCCACAGAGAGGGAGAGAAGGAGAGAGCAUUACAGAGUAUUGGCGUGCUGGAUAUCAGCUUCGAGGGCCUUGAGAGAAUCCUUGAAAGACAACUUUCCCAUGUAUUUUCCCGGAAAGAAAAUCCCAUCAAACAAAUAGAAACCAAUGAAAUUUGAUAUUAUAGAGAAAGCAAGAGAAUGGCAUACUAGAAGGAUUAAUUGGUGUCGUUAAAACCUCUCCUAUAUAAACAAAACCACCCAGAGGAUACACCAAAGCUAAACUACCUCCACACUGUGCCAGUUUAGGAGGACAAGGACUGACCCUCCUUAAAUUACAAUUUUACCCUACUUGCUCCCGUCACCCAAUCCACAAAGUUUUUUCCUUUUAAAUUUCUUUUACUUUUUUUUAGAUUUAUCAUGAUAUUUCUAUGUAUAUCUUACGAUACUAAUUCAUUCAAAAUUCAUGAAUCAUAAAUCCCCCGCAACGCCCAAGAAGAUUUUUUCCACAACACUCUUCAUUUAUAGUAUGCCUAACUUCUUUUUUUUUUU
rnacentral:misc_RNA from 1 species